rnacentral:lncRNA from 12 species
AUGCCAGGUGGCCACCGGCCCCACCUAGCCCGUGUUGGCUCAGCGCGUGACAGUUUGGGGAAGAAGGGGAGGAGGAGGACACGGAAGUCACACGCCUCCCAACUGGGUUCCCAUUGGCCCUUGGGAUCCUUAAAAGGGCCCGGCAGCCCCAUCACGGGCAUUCUCGGACCCUCUGAGGAUUCUGUGGGUGCAGCUCCCGCGUCGUCCCACAGCAUGAGAUUCUCGGCUCUCCUCUGGCUGGCGGCUCUGGCGGGGGCCCUGGUCUCUGCCGAAGGUGACUCCUCAGAUCCUGCCCCAGGGGCUGCGGCCGCCGACCCCGGAGGCUUGACACCCGCCGCGGACCCCGCUGCGCCCCAAAAGGCGGCCCAGGAGCCCGAGGGCUCUACCCCGCAUGGAGAGGACCAGAGCCCACUGAAAUCCCUGGUAAGCAGAGGUCUCACGCUCGCGGGACAUGGCCUAGAAGGAGCAGAAAAAAGGCUGGAUAAGGGACGUCAAUUCAGGAAAAAUCUUUAUGACCGUGGAGCCGAAUUUGGACGAAAUCUGAAAAAGCUUGUUCCACAAUUCAAUUAGAUGGAGUCUGAGACGCCGAAGAGGAGGGGUCCCGGGACUCCAGGCCUCAGCCGCGCCGCAGCCCCACGUGAUUAAACUGAAGCAUCCCA